GGGGAUGUAGUUCAGAUGGUAGAAUGCUCGCUUAGCAUGCGAAAGGCACGGGGAUCGAUACCCCGCAUCUCCA
rfam:Zea mays cultivar B73 chromosome 4, whole genome shotgun sequence.